rnacentral:lncRNA from 1 species
AAAGGGCGCGUUUUGGCGCUGGUGACCGGGGGUGACCGGGGGUGACCGGGGAUGGCCGGGAAGAUGAAAGAGCACUGAAACUGUCCCAUUUCCUGGCACCUCAACCCUUCAUAAAUACGGGUCCAUAUACAGAGGCUCCAGUUUACACAAGACAAAAAUGGCGUGGAGCCUUCAGAUCAGAUUCCAACCCAGCUAACACCUUGACGACAACCCCCAUGAGAGACUGUGAAUCAAAGUAGCCAGAUUUAAGGGUUCAAUCCUACAAGACUGCCUCCUCUUGAGUUCCUCUGCCCGGCCGCCCCACUGUCUGGGAAGUGAGAAGCGCCUCUGCCUAGCCGCCCACCAUCUGGGAAGUGAGGAGCACCUCUGCCCGGCCGCCCCACACCACCGCCGCCAUCUGGGAAGUGAGGAGUGCCUCUGCCUGGCCCCCGCAACGUCUGGGAAGUGAGGAGCGCCUUUGCGCGGCUGCUGUGCGACCCUCCAAGUGUGAAGUGACAGCCUUGUGUGUGAUCUUUCUGCCCUCCCCAAGUUUGCAUUUUCGACAUUAAAGUUUACUUUUCAAUUAAAAUUUUUAAAUUGGAGAAUAUAUAAUUUAAAAAAAAAAAAAAAAGACUGCCUCCUCUUAAGAUGCCAGUCACAAGUCCUGGGCUACCAGUAUUUCUGACUAACUGGCUAUAAAUUAGAGGCUCCCACAAACCCCUCCUCAGGUUUGAUAAUUUACUAGAACAGCUCAUAGAACUCAGGAAACACUUUACCUAUGGUACCUAGUUAAUAAUAGAGGAUAUAACUGAGGAACAGCCAGACUGAAGAAAUGCAUAGGGCAAGAUAUGGAAGAGGGUGUGCCAAGCUUCCAUUCCUCUCUGCGUGUGGCAUCCUCCCAGCACCCUGGUAUGUUCACAAACCUGAAGCUUGUUCAAGAGUACAAAAAAUUAGCCGGGUGUGGUGGUGGGUGCCUGUAGUCCCAGCUACUCAGGAGGCUGAGGCAGGAGAAUGGCAUGAAUCCGGAGGCGGAGCUUGCAGUGAGCCAAGAUCAUGCCAGUGCCCGCCAGCCUGGGCAUCAGAGUGAGACGCCAUCUCAAAAAAAAAAAAAGAAAAAAAAAAAAAGAAAAAAACUCACAGCCUGGGCGACAGAGCGAGACUCUGUCUCAAAACAAUAAUAAUAAUAAAUAAAAUUUUUUUUUUUUUGAGAUGGAGUAUCGCUCUGUCACCCAGGCUGGAGUGCAGUGGCACGAUCUCAGUUCACUGCAACCUCCACCUCCCGGGUUCAAGGGAUUCUCCUGCCUCAGCCUCCUGAGUAGCUGGGACUAUAGGCACGUGCCACCACGCCCAGCUAAUUUUUGUAUUUUUAGUAGAGACGGGCUUUCACCAUGUAGGCCAGGAUGGUCUCGAUCUCUUGACCUCAUGAUCCGCUCGGGAUUACAGGCGCGAGCCCCCAUGCCCAGCCUGUUCAAGAGUUUUUAUAGAACUUACUCUCCAGUCCAUUCCUCCUUUCAGUUCCAAUCCUCUAAUUGCUUGGUCUUUCUGGGGACCAGUCUCAUCCUGACACUAUCUAGAGGUCUCAUGAGUAGUCACCUCAUGAGCAGAAAUUCAGGUGUAUCACAGGGUUUCCUUAUGAAUAACAAAAGACACACCUAUUUCUCAGGAAGAAAUUCCAAGGGUUUUAAGCAUACUGUGCCAUGAACUGGGAACAAUGACCAAAUAUACUUAUCCGUGUCACUUUCUAUAUACCAGACUGUGAAAAAUAAAUAUACAUUUGGUCUCUGCCCUCCAAAUCUUUGGAAUUGCUGAAGUGUCUUUUAUAUGCUAUUGAGAUGACUGGUGCCUGGGGCUCUUCCAUGGCCUCAGGAAGGGAGCUGGUUGCCAGGGGAACCAACCUUGUGACAGACAGUUGGAACUUUCAGUCUCACCUCUCCAACCAACCCCUGACCUCUGUGGAAGGGAGAGGUGAUGGAAAUUGAGCUUACCACCAAUAGUUAAUGAAUUAAUAAAUUAUGCCUAUGUAAUGAACCCACCAAAACAAUAAAAGGAUGAGGUUGAGAGCUUCCAGGCUGCUGAACAUAGGGUAGUCCUGGGAGGGUAGAAUACCCAGAAAGGGCAUGGAAGCCCUGAGGCCCUUCCCCAUUACCUGACCU